rnacentral:rRNA from 1 species
GGCAGAAAUUUAAUAUCCUAAAGGGAACAGAUCCCAUCUGAUCUUGGAACCCAAGCAGGUCAGCCCUGGCUACUACUUGGAUGGGAGACCACCAAUCAAUACCAGGCAUUGUAGGCU